ACCUGAAGUCUGAGUCUGUAGGAGCUGCCUACUGCCUCAGUGUCAGUGGUGCAGAGCUGGCACCAGUGUCUCCUGAGGCUGAGUCUGGAUUUUGUACUUAUGAAGAGGUUUAUUUUCCAGUUUUGUUCAAAUACAGCAGUCUCCCAAGAGCAACAUUGUAGAGAUUUUGACUGUGGAAGAUGGCAGAAUUCUUGCAAGAUUAACAACAUUUGCGCUAUGGCCAUCUAUCAAUUAAAAACCUUACGUGGUCCAAAACAUUCCCCUCAGCCCAGCUCUGAUGGAUCUUUUAAACGAACACUUACAUUCACAAACUGCUGGAGAAUGCCCCGUUGAUCACAAAGUGGGAUACUAAUGUUUGACCUGAUUCUGCAAGGCAAUGAGACUUACAAGUUUUGUAUGUCUGACGAUUCCCAGAAGCCAAUAAAUGCAACAAGGAUGUUGGCUAGUUGGUGUAUUUCAGUAUUCAACAGUAUUCAAGAAGAAAAACCAGUCAAGAGAGAGCAAACUACAAAGGAGUUUUCUAGAGGAAAUUUGCUUAAAGUCCACAGAAGAAUGAGAUGCACUGAUGUCUAGGAGGAGCAGACAGGACUUCAAAUACCAUGGAGUCAUCCUGGAAAAAGCCUUCCUGGAACAGCAGAUUUGUGGAACUCGCUUUAUUUACUACACAAGAUCUGAAUCAGUUUUGUUUAAGGAAAAUAACUGUUCUAAAUGAGAUGUUGUGAGCACUUAUCUAUCGGUCGCUUUGAUCUAUUUUGACUCAUCCUUUUAAAUUUGAACACAACAUAGGAAUACAGUAACAGUAACUUCCUCA
ensembl:lncRNA